AUGGCUAUUUGACCCUGAAUGCUCCCGAAAUGAAGCCACUGAGGAUUCCUGUUGAACAACCUAGAACAAAUCCAGUUUGGUAUUGCAGUUUGGAGUCCACAGUCAAGGUAGAGAUUGUGGAGAUGAGGCAGCACAAUGCAUCACCACCUUCCUGAAUGCAGAGCCUUACCGAUUGGUCCACUAUGAAUCAAACAUGAUGACGAGGAAGCCAAGAGAUUUCUUGCCUGAUUUUCAACCUGCAGAUGAGGUUGCUUAUGCUGAAGCUGGUCCAAUAUUGCUCAUAUCCAAAGCUUCCUUGGAAGAUCUGAAUAGCUGGCUAGAAAAGAAAAUUGCAAAGGCAAACUUUCGGCCAAGCAUUAUUGUUACAGGUUCUGGUCCGUAUGAGGAAGAUGCUUGGGGUGAACUUUUAAUUGGGAAUGUGGAGUUGAAAAGAAGAAUGUCUUGUCCCAGGUGUGUUGUAACAACAAUUGAUCCAGACACUGGUCUCAUGGAUAGGAAAGAACCACUGGAAACACUGAAAAGCUAUCGCAAGUGUGACCCUUCUGAACAACAUGACUAUAAAUCUUCUCCUCCCUUUGGAUCACUAUAUGGAAUUGGUAAAACUGGAAUGGUAGAAGUUGGAGACCCCGUGUACAAGAUAAUCUAGUGAUGGUGUCUGCAGUGAAGCACACUUGUUCAGUUUAUGUGCAAAUAGAUCUGUACACAUUUUGUCAAGAUACCCUUUUCACAUUUGCUUUUCCUAUGAAGUCUUUAACUGGAUCUUGUAAAGAGAGAUGGGUAAUUUCAGAACACUUGGGCCACUUAUGUGCCUUUAUCGCUUUGUUUCAGUUCAGGAGCUGGUAUGGAUGGGGCUAUGAGACACAGGCCCUGAAUCUUUUUUUAAGUGCCCAAAGUGUUUCUGGGUUGAUAAUGAAUUUAGGAGAAACUGACUAGGAGACCUGGGACAAAAUAAUAAUUUGGGGAAAUAAAUUAAUAUUAAUUUAGAUAUGAUAUGGGGGUAAUUGCAAGGGGAGCUAAGUUGAUUUAGAGCAAGAUCUGCUGUUAAAUUAAUUGAAGAGAAAGUGAUUUGAGGUGAAAUUUUAGUAUCAUCCGAGAUUAUUUGGAUAGGAAACCAUUAGGCUUCUCUUCUCUGACAUUUUACAUUCUUAAUUUGUACCUACACAUAUAAAAUAACAUACAAAUAUGUGUCUAUGGGCCCAUACCCAGAAUCUUUUAAGUACAUAGCAAUGUCCCUGCCUCAUGCAAAAGCUAAAAUAUUCCUGGGAUAUGCUUUGCCCAAUCAUAAAGAAGCACAUCUAAGUAAGAUGAGUGUUGCCAUUUCGAUUUCCCAGAAUGGCUAGUGUAAAAUUAAAGAAACUGGGAUUUUAAUAUAAAAUUAAGAUAACAGAAAAUAUUUAUAAUAUACCGGUCACUUGUUGCUAAACUAUACACUAUACACAGUGAUCAGUGAUGACUGUCUAGUGUACCAACGUUGUGCAAAAUGCACAGAUUUUAUUGAAAACAAUUGAAUAAGAAAUCCCCCUUCAGUUUGGGGUAGGGAGAUGCUCCUUUAGUCCUCUGCACUACAGCUAAGACUCUUACAUCAGAUUCUGAACUGUGCUUCAAUGCAAGGUGCUUUAUGGGUAGGUGCAUCAAAAUAAUCAUGUGCUAUAGAAAUUAUUUCAAUUUAAUCCCCACCCUUCACCAUAAGGUCCCAGGGUUGACAAUUUAAAAUACAGUAUUACAGGCGAUUUAAAACAAAUUUCAGUCACAAUAAUAGGGUGGGUCCUAAAAAUUUAUACCUCAGAAUUGCUAAUCCAUCUACUUGUAUUUCAUGACUGUAUACCCUGUGCCAGCAUAUUAUGUUAGCCUAAAGCUGAUCAAUAUGUAUUUGUUAGCUAAGUUAGCCUGAAGGCUUGUAUCCUUUUCAGGCCUUGGCAUAAUAGAACAGACGUAAAGUUAAAAGUUUGAUUUGCCUGAAAGCUUGUAUUCCCUUUCUAGGCCCCAGCAUCCUUGAGUAUGCCAGAUCACCUCAUAGCCACCUGCAGUAUCUAGGUGUUCUAAUGAAAAUAUGAUGGCUUGCCAGUAUGCUGGGAAUGUAUCUUGUUAGUAUGAAGGAGUUUCAAUUAGGCAGAGGUUCAAGAAUAUUUACUAGUAGAUGUUUUAUAGCUGGGGUGAUACUGGAAAGUACCUUGUUAUACAUCAGAGAGUCCUGAUAGGCAUAGAUUCAAUGGAUGGGUCGAAGGACGGUCAAUGCACAGAUAAUGCAGGAGUUGCGUGUUAGUGCACAAGCCAAGUAACGGUCAAUGAUAAACUAUGCUUGUUAGUAGAGAUGAAGAUAAAGAUGAUAGCUAUGAGGUUUGCCAAGGGAGGAUACUAAGGUGCACCUGGAACGAUACUAUAGUUUUGAGCAAUUAGUUUGCUUUGAAGAUGUUCUGCGAAAAGAGCAGAACAGCCAAUUAUAUGUCAUAAUAUGUUAUUUCAAAGUGUAUGCUCUCAUUAAUCAUAUAUGUAACUGCAUGUGUAUGCCAAUAAUAUGUGCCAAGAUUUAUGCUAUAUAAACCUGAUCUGUGCCCAGUAUGGGUGUUCAGUCUCUGAUGUCCGCUACUGCAGAGCGGUGGGACUGAUCCACUUUUAUUGGGAAUACUUGGCUGAAUGCUUAUCCUUUGUUGAAAGUAUCAAACAGUUGAUUGAAGUGGAAGAAAUUUUGCAGUCUUCAGUGGGUUGGCAAGAGAUACUGUUUGUUCCAACUUAUCUUCCUGGGCAUCU